CGCGCAGGCGGCUUAUCAAGUCAGGCGUGAAAGCCCCGGGCUUAACCUGGGAACUGCGUCUGGGACUGGUGGGCUAGAGUUCGGGAGAGGAGAGUGGAAUUCCCAGUGUAGAGGUGAAAUUCGUAGAUAUUGGGAAGAACACCGGUGGCGAAGGCGGCUCUCUGGACCGAGACUGACGCUGAGGCGCGAAAGCGUGGGGAGCAAACA
rnacentral:rRNA from 1 species